AGCGAACGCUGGCGGCAGGCCUAACACAUGCAAGUCGAACGGAUCCUUCGGGAUUAGUGGCGGACGGGUGAGUAACACGUGGGAACGUGCCCUUUGGUUCGGAACAACUCAGGGAAACUUGAGCUAAUACCGGAUGUGCCCUUCGGGGGAAAGAUUUAUCGCCAUUGGAGCGGCCCGCGUCUGAUUAGCUAGUUGGUGAGGUAAAGGCUCACCAAGGCGACGAUCAGUAGCUGGUCUGAGAGGAUGAUCAGCCACACUGGGACUGAGACACGGCCCAGACUCCUACGGGAGGCAGCAGUGGGGAAUAUUGGACAAUGGGCGCAAGCCUGAUCCAGCCAUGCCGCGUGGAUGAUGAAGGCCUUAGGGUUGUAAAGUCCUUUUAACGGGGAAGAUAAUGACGGUACCCGUAGAAUAAGCCCCGGCUAACUUCGUGCCAGCCGCCGCAGUAACAC
rnacentral:rRNA from 1 species